GGCCACACGACCAGUCCACCCACACGCCACACAAAAUAACCCUAAGCCAUCUGCGGCUCUCCUCUCAGCUCUUGUCUCUCACUCUCAAACUCUCUCAAUCCUCUCCUCUGGUGCGCUCCUGCCUCAAUGUCUGUUGCCUACUGUGUGUUGCGAACCAUCCACUCGGACCACUCCUCGUCCUCGAGCUUGAGUCGUCGUCUCCUCCACAGGCGUCAGCGCCCCCCCCCCCCCCCCCCCAAACUCCACAAACCACUGACUCCACACCUCCAGCCUCCAGCUACCCCACUGUAAGAUCAAGCUCCCUCACAGAUCAAGUUCCCUCACGAUCCACAGACGCUAAUCUACCAUUAUACCGCAGAGGACCAAAGGUGGAGGGGGAAGAGUUUCACUGUUUCAGGCUUUCAACAUGGAAGGGAUAAGCUUUGCUCGAGUGCUCGAACUCGAAUCGCACAGUGCAUCCAAGUGAAGAGAGAGAAGAAGCUAAAGAAUUAGAAGUCAAAUUUGAAAAUUGUUUGAUUAAUGAUUUGGGAGAAGCUUCUACAAACAAUCAUGACUAAUUAAGUUUUCUUUUGUUAUUUGAAAAUUAUAAUCUUGUGGAUUUUUAUGGAACUCAUUUAAAUUAAGUUUUGUAUGUGAAUAUUUAACUGUUAUAUUUUUAAGAUUAUGUUUUGAUUGUGGGACUUUAAUAUUUGAUACACGUGUUAUGCAUAAUGUAUGGAUUAAAAAAAUAUGAAUGAUGAAAGAACUUAUUAAAUA